GGUUAAGCGACUAAGCGUACACGGUGGAUGCCCUGGCAGUCAGAGGCGAUGAAGGACGUGCUAAUCUGCGAAAAGCGUCGGUAAGGUGAUAUGAACCGUUAUAGCCGGCGAUGUCCGAAUGGGGAAACCCAGUGUGAUUCGUCACACUAUCGUUAACUGAAUACAUAGGUUAACGAGGCGAACCGGGGGAACUGAAACAUCUAAGUACCCCGAGGAAAAGAAAUCAACCGAGAUUCCCCCAGUAGCGGCGAGCGAACGGGGAGCAGCCCAGAGUCUGAAUCAGCUUGUGUGUUAGUGGAACGGUCUGGAAAGUCCGACGGUACAGGGUGAUAGUCCCGUACACCAAAAUGCACAGGUUGUGAACUCGAAGAGUAGGGCGGGACACGUGGUAUCCUGUCUGAAUAUGGGGGGACCAUCCUCCAAGGCUAAAUACUCCUGACUGACCGAUAGUGAACCAGUACCGUGAGGGAAAGGCGAAAAGAACCCCGGCGAGGGGAGUGAAAAAGAACCUGAAACCGUGUACGUACAAGCAGUGGGAGCACCUUCGGGUGUGACUGCGUACCUUUUGUAUAAUGGGUCAGCGACUUAUAUUCUGUAGCAAGGUUAACCGUAUAGGGGAGCCGCAGGGAAACCGAGUCUUAACUGGGCGUUAAGUUGCAGGGUAUAGACCCGAAACCCGGUGAUCUAGCCAUGGGCAGGUUGAAGGUUGGGUAACACUAACUGGAGGACCGAACCGACUAAUGUUGAAAAAUUAGCGGAUGACUUGUGGCUGGGGGUGAAAGGCCAAUCAAACCGGGAGAUAGCUGGUUCUCCCCGAAAGCUAUUUAGGUAGCGCCUCGUGAACUCAUCUUCGGGGGUAGAGCACUGUUUCGGCUAGGGGGUCAUCCCGACUUACCAACCCGAUGCAAACUACGAAUACCGAAGAAUGUUAUCACGGGAGACACACGGCGGGUGCUAACGUCCGUCGUGAAGAGGGAAACAACCCAGACCGCCAGCUAAGGUCCCAAAGUCAUGGUUAAGUGGGAAACGAUGUGGGAAGGCACAGACAGCCAGGAUGUUGGCUUAGAAGCAGCCAUCAUUUAAAGAAAGCGUAAUAGCUCACUGGUCGAGUCGGCCUGCGCGGAAGAUGUAACGGGGCUAAACCAUGCACCGAAGCUGCGGCAGCGACACUAUGUGUUGUUGGGUAGGGGAGCGUUCUGUAAGCCUGCGAAGGUGACCUGUGAGGGUUGCUGGAGGUAUCAGAAGUGCGAAUGCUGACAUAAGUAACGAUAAAGCGGGUGAAAAGCCCGCUCGCCGGAAGACCAAGGGUUCCUGUCCAACGUUAAUCGGGGCAGGGUGAGUCGACCCCUAAGGCGAGGCCGAAAGGCGUAGUCGAUGGGAAACAGGUUAAUAUUCCUGUACUUGGUGUUACUGCGAAGGGGGGACGGAGAAGGCUAUGUUAGCCGGGCGACGGUUGUCCCGGUUUAAGCAUGUAGGCUGAUUGUCCAGGCAAAUCCGGAUAAUCAAGGCUGAGGUGUGAUGACGAGGCACUACGGUGCUGAAGUAACAAAUGCCCUGCUUCCAGGAAAAGCCUCUAAGCAUCAGGUAACAUUAAAUCGUACCCCAAACCGACACAGGUGGUCAGGUAGAGAAUACCAAGGCGCUUGAGAGAACUCGGGUGAAGGAACUAGGCAAAAUGGUGCCGUAACUUCGGGAGAAGGCACGCUGGUGUGUAGGUGAAGUCCCUGCGGAUGGAGCUGAGACCAGUCGAAGAUACCAGCUGGCUGCAACUGUUUAUUAAAAACACAGCACUGUGCAAACACGAAAGUGGACGUAUACGGUGUGACGCCUGCCCGGUGCCGGAAGGUUAAUUGAUGGGGUUAUCCGUAAGGAGAAGCUCUUGAUCGAAGCCCCGGUAAACGGCGGCCGUAACUAUAACGGUCCUAAGGUAGCGAAAUUCCUUGUCGGGUAAGUUCCGACCUGCACGAAUGGCGUAAUGAUGGCCAGGCUGUCUCCACCCGAGACUCAGUGAAAUUGAACUCGCUGUGAAGAUGCAGUGUACCCGCGGCAAGACGGAAAGACCCCGUGAACCUUUACUAUAGCUUGACACUGAACAUUGAGCCUUGAUGUGUAGGAUAGGUGGGAGGCUUUGAAGCGUGGACGCCAGUCUGCGUGGAGCCAACCUUGAAAUACCACCCUUUAAUGUUUGAUGUUCUAACGUUGGCCCCUGACCGGGGUUGCGGACAGUGUCUGGUGGGUAGUUUGACUGGGGCGGUCUCCUCCCAAAGCGUAACGGAGGAGCACGAAGGUUAGCUAAUCCUGGUCGGACAUCAGGAGGUUAGUGCAAUGGCAUAAGCUAGCUUGACUGCGAGCGUGACGGCGCGAGCAGGUGCGAAAGCAGGUCAUAGUGAUCCGGUGGUUCUGAAUGGAAGGGCCAUCGCUCAACGGAUAAAAGGUACUCCGGGGAUAACAGGCUGAUACCGCCCAAGAGUUCAUAUCGACGGCGGUGUUUGGCACCUCGAUGUCGGCUCAUCACAUCCUGGGGCUGAAGUAGGUCCCAAGGGUAUGGCUGUUCGCCAUUUAAAGUGGUACGCGAGCUGGGUUUAGAACGUCGUGAGACAGUUCGGUCCCUAUCUGCCGUGGGCGCUGGAGAAUUGAGGGGGCUGCUCCUAGUACGAGAGGACCGGAGUGGACGCAUCACUGGUGUUCGGGUUGUCAUGCCAAUGGCACUGCCCGGUAGCUAAAUGCGGAAGAGAUAAGUGCUGAAAGCAUCUAAGCACGAAACUUGCCCCGAGAUGAGUUCUCCCUGAGACUAUAAGUCUCCUGAAGGAACGUUAAAGACGAUGACGUUGAUAGGCCGGGUGUGUAAGCGCAGCGAUGCGUUGAGCUAACCGGUACUAAUGAACCGUGAGGCUUAACCUU
rnacentral:rRNA from 1 species